CAAAAUAGGGAAUAGUCAAUCUUCUUCCCUCCUACUUAAUCUUAAUAUCUUCAUUAUUCUCAGAGAUCAGCAAUUACAGAUUUUCUGGAAUUUGUUCCUUCUUUCAAAAUAUUACUUAGACCAUAUAAUAAUAUUCCCCAGAGAUACAGUAAUUCUGUAAAAUCUUUAUUCUGUUGUCAAAUUAUUAGUCUAGGCUUUCAAACUGCUGGAUUCAUUUAUCUGGCUUUAUGUGAUACAAAAGUUCAGGAUAAAUGAUCCUGAUAUAGCCCUUUCUGAGCUUAAAAAAAAAUCUGAAAAAGGGAAAAAUAUCAAGUUUGGUAAGACAGAUUAGUUACUCACAUGAAAAUCAUUGUACUGUCUGUAACACUGUGUUACUCUGAAAGUCAAGUCCCUAACCCCGAACCUGAAAAAGUCACUUCAGUUUCUCUCUGCUGGCCAAGUUAACUGCAAGCAUUUCCUGACGCUGAGAAUGCAGGCAGAAAAAGGAAAAACGUCGACUUGAGAAAAGCACAGCUUCCAAUCCCCACCCACCAGCUUCAGUCAAAGGGAUGACUUCAGUCCCUUUCUUAACUAAUCCUGUCACUGUAAAAUCCUACAGUCAUUCUUCCAACAUAAAGGGAAAACGGACUCACUAGGAGGACCUAGACUCUUUCAGCUUGAACUGUUAACCAAUGGUGGAAAUGCAAGAAUGCUGAAGUUGUGCCUUCAGAGCCAAUAGAGUGGAUUUGUGUGUCCCACAUGACUGUGUUUCCCCUGUCUUUCACAUGGGCAGUAUUUAGUUCAAUUCAGAACUGCAGAUAGUAUAGCGUGCAGAGCAGCAAUGGGAUGUCUGAGCACAAGUGGCUGACUUCCAGGCGACUUCAGGAAGCACAUUUAUACAUUUCUCCUGAAUUAAACUGGGAUUCUGCACCCUUGACAUUCUCCAGCCCUCCUUGUUGAUGCAGAAGGAGACAACGACCUGCAUAGCACAACAAAACUACAAAUCACCACAGAGCUACAGACCAGCAACGAAGGGAGCUGAGGGCAAUUUGACCAACAUCAUCUGUGUCGGUUCCCCAGAUGUCAAUGAAACGCGUAAUCGGGUCUCCAAGGUACAUCCCAGAGAUUAGCUGCUGUGCCAUUCAAUAAGUAAAUGAUUAAAACAAGAUGUUUUCUUUGAUUACAUUAAGAUACUGGCAGCAGGGAGGGCUAUUACCUUCCAUUGAAGAGUCUACCUUCCCAAAUUACUUUGUUUAUUAACACAUCAUUAACAAUGUGCCACCUCAGCCAAAUGAUCAGUGGUCUUGGGUACAAAGUAAAGAUCAUUACAGAACUCCACCACCUGCCUCAUUUGAGCAAAUCAAACCACAAGCCUCAGAAGAUCACUGUGGAAGAAACACACUGGGCCAACCCAUCCUGUUGAUAUGACACAAAGUGCAGCCCAGUUUGGUAUUCUUUCCACUCUGAAGAAGUCUCACACCAGAGCAAAAGGUCUGGCAAGUGAAGAACUAAAUGACAAAUACCAUAUCAGCUAAGCACAGAAGCAUUCCAUGUAAUAGAAGAUACCCACACUUUGAGACCAGAGACCAAUUUAACUCCUUAACCGUGCAGGAUGGCAAAACAUUUGUUACAUAACAGCAACUUCACAUGGCAUUUUUACAUCCUGCCAUCUUUUCACUGAAGAACAGAAGAUUAGACUUCUACCGACUCUGAGAGACGGGGAGUGGAGCCAGCAGCAAUAUUUAGCACAGAGUGACUGAUUUCUGGCACCAUCUAGCUUCUCUGCAAGAGGAAUCUGGCAGCCUGAACCAUACUUGUCGGCGUGAGGAUAUGUUAACAGACUCAUCUGUUGGUAAACCAGAAAGGAAGACAAAUAGGUUGGUUUAUAUCCUCACUAGAGGAGAAAACGGCAAAGAAAAAAAAGGUAAAAAGAAAAAAGAUCUUUCUGGACUAUACCAGACAAGAAAGCACAGUCUCUUCAAUUCAGAACUUUUUUCCAAUUCCCACAGUAUAACUUUCUUUCCAUUUGCCUGAAAUCACCUGUAAUGAGCAUUAGGAGCUAAUCCCUACACAUUUGGUUUAUUUGGCAUAGGCCCAAUGAAAGCAAGGAUUCUCAAAUGCAUGACAAACCCAACCCACUUUCUCACUUCGUCUUUUCAACUGCAUGUGACCACAGCUACUGAAAAUAGAAAAUUAGCUGCAUUUACACACAAGUAAUACAUAGAAGUCUCUUAGAUGGAAAAAGUGGAACAUAGUUACAUGCUUUUUCCUAUAGUCCACUUAAAGUAAUAUUUCUUUUCCUCAGGGUCGUAGUGAAUUUCUUUAAGGCAGUUUCUCAGUAAAGAGGUCUAGGGCUAUUCUGCUGUUGAUUCAUUCAUGUUGAUCAGCUCUGGUUUUGUGAUAUCAUCCAAUAACUAAAGUGUAAAUGCAAAGUAGGCAUAGCUACCUAUGUGUUUUAAUGUAUUUCAUUUACAUUUUAAUGUAUUUAAUUUAAUUUUUAUUUAUUGAAGUGUCUUAUGUUCUCUUCUCCCUAGAUAAGCAGGUUUUUUACACUCCACAUUUUCCAGUACUUUUGAUUACACAAGACUAAGAAGGACCAUAUAUUUUCCAUGACAUAGGGACAUGUGAUGACAGAAGAUUAGCAAGUCAGUAUUUGUUGUGGCAUGAAUAAGAAUAUCCUAGUGGGAAGGAAUUACAAGAUUUAGAUCUAAGAACUCAAAUGCAUCCGAUCUGAACCACAGGCAGAAGUCUAAACCAAAAUUUGAAACCACCCUCAAAGUCAGCACCUAUUAUUUGAAGAUGCUUUAUACUCACUGAACAGUUACAGAUCAAAAUGAAAGAGCAAGCAAAGCAAAAUGAGGUAAUGAGAACAAAGCAGAGAACAUGUUCAUAGAGGAAAAAGGGAAAUUGAGACUCCUGUCAUUAACAUCUGACUUGGAUGUCUCUUAAUGGGUUUAUAUUCAGUUCUAUGUUAUUCAACUAUAAUUACUACAAAGAAUGAGUUUUUACAUCUCAGAAUAUUCUGGGUUGGAAGGGAUCAUCAAGUCCCACUUGAGUGAACAAUUGAUAGCAGAUUGAAUCCACAGCCUUGGUGUUAGCACCACACUCUCACUAUGUCUAGAACUAAAGUAUCAUGGGCUAUUACAUGGUAUUCACUUGAGAGACAAACUGCGCAAGAAAUUUCACAGAUUUCUGUGAUAUCCUUACACUCAGAUUUCAAUCUUCAGUGAUGCACAGAAGAAAAGCACUGGGAUUUUCAGCAGAAAUUCCCAUGAGUAUCAAGGAAAGAGAAUUUCUAAAAUCCCUUGGUCCUUUUGAAAUUCUCUGCAUGCAAUUUCAGGUUAAUGUAUUGUUUUAAAAAGCCUGGUAGGGAAUUCUCUAGAAAGCAAAAGGUUAGAUUUUCUGAUAUGCACAUAUGCAAACCUCAGUCUCCUGCAUUCUCAUGUACCAAAAGUUGAAAAUAUAUAUAUAUAUAUAUAUAAAAAAAAAAGUCAAACCCAUAGCCACUAGAAUGUACUGUGUUUAUGUAAUUAUUUUCAGAAGACACAUUAUGCAGGUAACCUAAUACAAUCAUAAAGACCUAAAUGAGAUUCUGAUCCUGACAUUCAGGUACCCGAAAUAGGUGCUUAAGGAUUGGAAAGACAGCAAAGAACAGAGGAGACAGUAAAAGUGCUAAAAACAUUAUAGGAACCUUUAUAUUUUAUAUUCAGGUGGAGUUUGUCAUGAGCAGCCCACUCCCUUUUUGCGCUGAAUAAUUCCCAGCAUUUUCAUAUCACAUCUCAGAUACACAUAUCAAAGACAACUUUCUAAUCUUGCAAGUGUGCUUAGAGAGAAGGAAGAGGAGAGCAAAAAAUACCAAUAAACUCCCCCCUUCCUCCUUAUUUUUAUAAGGAUAAAUUAUAAAUUUACCUUACUGCCCAAUACUUCUUGUUUUUAUCAAGAAUAUUUAUCAAUACCUGAUGAAUUCUCCUCCUAGACAGACAAGACUGAAAGGAGGUAACUGAUUACUCUGUGCAUCCCAUUGUGCUCUUAUUUUAUAAUUUAAAAUCAAUUAUAUAUAUAUAUAUAUUUCUUCAAUAAAAACUGCAAAAUUGCAGUUCUAGACAAAAAAAAGUGUCUAGGACCUUCUACAUUUAAUUGCCUUGUUAAAUGAAUUUUAUAUUACAGAAGAAUCUAGAUGUCAGAAAUCAUUUGUCUUCAAAUUCCUGCCAGUUUUUACUUCAUAACUAAGUAUUUGAGUUGUUUGUUCUCCUUCCUCACCGUAUUGAAAUUAGAUUACCAGUGCUGUCACCAAGUGACAAUAAUACUGAGCUCAAGACAAGACCCUCAUGUGCCAAGGGAAAAAAAACCUACAUUUCACAACAAGAAAAUUAAGUUUCAGAAACCAUGAGACUGGUUAUAUCCGUUCUUUGGCAAUAUUCUAUUAUUCCUUCCACCCUCUUCACUAAUUUAUUUCUUCCUCAGUCUUGUACUCCAAGCCUUCAGUGACAGCUUUUGGAACCCUAAACCAGACUCAAUCAAUAGGUUGAGGUCAGCUGUCAGACCCAUGGGAUCAGAAAGAUCAGAACACAUUUAUCCAAAGUCCAAGUGGAGUGCCCUAUUCAGACAGCUAUGCUGCCUGCUAGUUAUCAGGUGGAACUGAAAACAAAACUUAUAUUAAAAGACAGCAGGAUCAUUAUUUCUCCUUUCUGCCCCACCUCCUCGAAUGCCUGAGGUCAUUUUCCACAACAAAAAUGAAUGCCCUUCUUGAAAGUGUUUUUGUGCUAAACAGCAGUGGUUAAUUUCUUGCAACUAAUUAGUUAUUCAAGUGAAAGUAUAAUGAUCCUCCAACAUGAUUGAAAGUGCUUCAACUGAGUUCCCUGCUAACAGCAUACUUCUAGAAAAGAUGCAAUAAAUCAGCAGGGUUAUGAAAAUCUUUAAACAAAAGCAAGCCUAUGACAGGAACCCAUUAAAGAUAUAGCCAUGUAAUAUUUAUGCACCUAGCUGCCUUGUGCUUGUAACCCAGCACUUUCAGCUAUAUCUUUGUAGCACCUGUAUCAUAUUCCAUAAAAAUGAGAUUCACCCUACCUGCUAAGAGCCAGCACAAUGUCUCUGAUUUAGGUGUUCAGAGCAUAGGGUUACCAUAGGGCUUAAGGGAUGGGACUUCCCUCCAAAUGGAAUUUCUUCCAGAUAUUUCUAAAUAAAAAUACAAAAGCUUUGAACAGCACAGAAAAUGUAAUUUGUGAGCCUCAAGCUCCUUUAUUACCUUUGGCAAGAAAAGGGGCAGGUGCUGACAAAAGAAUGGUUUAUAAAUCCAGAGAGGUACUGAUGCAGAAACAAAACUCCUUAGAAUAGCCAGUAUCACCUAUGAUUGUUCAGAUUAUGAUUUGUGAUUUGGAGUGAUUAUGGAGAUGGUAAUAGGGGAUCUCUUGAGACUUUUACAGGAAGUCCUGACUGUGUAAAAUGCCAUCCACUUACUCCUAAACCUAGUAAUUAAUUACAGAGUUUGCAUUUAAAUGUAUUGGGUACUGCAGAAAAGCAAGACCCUGUAGUAGAAAAAUGCAUUUUGAUAAUGCUUGAGGCUUCUGGGUGCUACAGAUGUACCAAUCUGUUUAAAUUUCCAAAACAAAGAGAUAUUUCCCUUUCUUUUUUCACAUUAAAUGGUCUGCAUAUGUGCUUGCAUGUAUUUUUAAGCUACACAUAAGUGCAAAAUAGGAAGCAAAGAGAAUAGUUCUAUUUAUUAACUUAGUUGGCUGUACAUGCUUUCUGUCAUCCCUUUCACUCAUUUACUUCAUUGCAAAUCUCAGUCUUCCCACAGUUUUAAAAGACAGAAUUUGGAUUCACAAACCAAUUUGAGUUGGGGACUCAAAUACAAUUUCCUGGCCUACCUUUCCUUGCUGCAGCAAAUGGCUGCCAAACAGGGAAACCUUGCUGCUGUGAGGUUGGAAAAGGGAGAUUUCAGGGAAGGAUGUAGGAACUGCAGUUUGCUUGGGACUGGGAGGUGGCAAUUGAAGGACAGAGAAAAGGACACCAGACAUCACUCCCCCUUCCCAUAAAAUCAAAUUCGGCUUCAAGAAAGGUUUUUGGGCCAAUGACCACUUUCAACUCACACCUUCUGUUGGAAAAAUAAAUUAGGAGUCCAGCUUUAUUUUGUCAAUAGAAAGUUUAAAGUGGUCACUGGAGCACAAAGCUUUUCAAAAGGUAGCUGAGCUCAACAAGGACAAGGAGGAGGAUGUUGAGAAAGCCACAAAAACAGAGGCAGAUUACAAACCAUUAAAGGCCAUGCCGUUUUUCAGUAAUAAAGAAAAGGCCUUUAGAACAGUUCUGGUAAUUUGUAUCUGCUUAUUGUGGGCUAUUUUUCUUUAGAAGAAUAUGUAUUACUUAAAAAAAAACUCUGCCAGAGCAGGAAAAGGUAUUUUGUGUUUGUGUGUGUUGGUCUUGAUAAAAAAGAGCCACCAGAAAACAGUAAACUAACUAGGCAUUUGCUCCCUGAAUACAUGGGAUUAUGCUUCUCAUUUGUGCUGAAAAUCAUUGGAUCCUGUACAAGUAAUUGUACUGCAAUGGGUUUUGCCAUGCUAAAUAUUUAAAGCUGUGUUCCCAGUCCUUCAGAGUCUGAGCUUAUUCUGUGUUCAGAGCUUUUUAGAGUUGAGUCCAAUAGCAUAUUUGUUUUGAAUGGCUGUUCUUAGAUAACAGUAACAAAAAUCCAAAACUUGUUUACACCAUUUAACCUGCCUAAGAGCUUAGCUUGAGACAUUAAAAAAGCCACACAACAAGCAAUCAGAAAAAUGCAGUCCUUUAGAAUAGUCUCUACUGGUGAGAAGUUACCCCAUCAAAAAGCAAAAAGAAUGUUUUGCCAGCUCUGGACCAAGAGUUGCUUUGUUUUUAAACUGGAGCAAUGACUGGCAUAAAAAGACUUCAAGGAAUUUCCUCUUCUCCCUGAAGAUAGUCGUGAGCCCUUCUACUGCCCCAGACUUCAUGUUAUGGUGAUUGCAAGGAUAGGUACACUUUGUGGGACCUAAGCAGAAGCCCUUGUUUAUCAGAGUGUGCAAAAUGUGAAAAAGAGUCAAAACAAAGCAAAUCAGGCAAUUCCAUCAAUCCUAAGAAAAUUGUUCCCAACUGAGCAGUACCUUCAGCUCUAACAGGCAGUUACAUCAGCUGUGCAGCAGAUGCACAUGGCCUGUUCUCUCAACGUAUUGCUACCUUAAGAACAAGACUUCACCAUUUACAAACAGACACUCAUGGAGUGUUCUACACAUUCUCAAAUUGUAUUUGUGGUCUAAGUUCUGUAAAGUAUGGUGAUAUUUUUGGGAACAAAGAUGAAGCAUAAUUUCUCAUCUGUUCCAAAUUACACAUUAAAAAAAAAAAAAGUGAGGAUGUUAGUAACAAAUAGAUUUGCGUACAGAAAUUUCAAAAAGGAAAAAAAUGCAGAAAUGCCAAAAUACAAUUACAGCAAAGGAAAUAAUGCAACCAGCCAAUGAUUUACCACCCUCACAUUUUCAGAAUUGCAGUUCUACUCAUUAGAAUCCAGUGCAAUGUAGUAGACACAGUAUCUGAAAAAACAAGUCUUUCAUAUUUCUAUGCUACCUUGAGAGCUCCUGAUACCUAAUCUGGAAGCAGACAGAACUCAAAAAGGUGCCUCUUUUCCAGUGAGGACGUGAUUUCCCCUCCAAGGGCCUGGGGCACUGUGCCUCAAAUGCUAAUAGCUUGAGUUUUGUGCAAUAGCCCUAUACUGUUUAUAUAGCACUUCACAUGUUCAAAGCACUAUGAGAUACCAGCCAUCACUAUACUUUUAUGAGGCUGUAAGUAUUACCCACUAAACAUCAGGGUUCAAAUGACUCGCUCUUGAUCAAAAGAAACUUUGUGCAGCAGGACCAUAAUUAUUUGAAUUUGGUAAUUCUCACAGACCAUUCCUAUGGCAACACAGAACAAAGAGGGGGAUGGGAUAUUAAAGCCAAUUGCUAUUGCACUCUGCUCUGGCAGUGAGAUGGACACAUGGAGGCUCUCUUAAGCAAACCUAUACUCACAGCACCUUCUAUAGAAAAUUCUAGAAAAUUAUUUUUUAAAUCAGGAGCAAAAAUUAAACAAAAGGUUUUGAAAACCCACAAGCAUGUUUUUCUAAAUGUAUCUAUUUCACAUAUUCACUGUGAAGAACAUAAAAGACAACAUGCAAAUGGUACUGAAGUAUUCCAGAAAUCCUAAAAGGGGUUCUGAAUUCAUUCGAAAGCAGCUUGAGAGUUUUUGUACCAAGAAGAUUAGUAGGCAACUUAAAAGCAAGUCCAUUUUCUGCAUAAAAAGAACUAGUCUCAUGUCUUAUGGCUGACUAGAGUAGGACUCAUCUUUUCAAAAUAUGGGAUGUUUUUGCUCUCCAUUUUUAUACAUCCAUUCUUCCUAUGAAAAUUCAACUAUGCUGACAUUUAUAUCUUUAAUCUCAAAGCAUCAAGGCUCUGUUCUUGAAAAAGAAUACAAACACAAAGGAGAUGUUAAAAAACAAUCAAUGUACACACAAUACGUAUUACAACCAAAUAAAGGCUUGACAUAAAUACUAAACAGGAUAGAUGCUGAAGAUUCUUCUCUUUACAACUGAAAUCUCUUUAUCCAAAAAUCCUGACACUGAGAUUGAAGUCAGAAUACAAAAACUCAUCCUCUGCCUUUCUAUCCUGUGUCCGUCCUAUCGUACAAUAUUGUCUUUCCCACCUCUUACAUUUUGCCUUGUACACAGCCCCAGUUUCCGCACACACCAUAUGUUUUCAGAGCACAGCUACACAAUUAUUGCCCUUAGAACCUUGCCUGCAGAAUCAUGUGGGAAAUAGAUCAUACUACUAAGACAAAAAUGUAGACCACUACACACAGUCCAGAUUCAUCAAAUAAGAAAAGGAUGCCUGUUUAAAGCUGUAACACAGGAAGGGGGAGGGAAAUAAAUUCUCUUCAAAGGUAGCAAUGAGUGCAGAGAGAAUUACUAAUAUAACCUUUUGUGUUUUAGCCAGGUUGAUCCUGAUGCUAUGAAUAUUUACCCUCUAUUUUACAACUUUCACUUGGCAUUUUUCAGGUACAGGCCACACAGAACUAACUCUAUGCUUAACUAUGCUUGCAAUUUCUACUGUUUUGACUAACAUUGUCUUGAAAAGCUGAAUUACUGAAAUAUUUGCUAAAAUAUUAAAGUUUAAGUAUAACAUCAAUAGGUGAGAGUUACUUCACGGAUAUUAAUGUAAGAACUAGUUACCAUACAGCAUCUACUGAUCUGAAAAACAGAUGUUUGCAUAUGAUUUAUGGACACCAAAAUAUGUGAAUAUCUUCCAUAAAUAGUAAUGUGUUCCAGUAAAAAAGAGUGAAGAAUUGUGAUCCAAAAGACUGGGAAAUUUCAGGCAGUGUUAGAAUUUAUUUACCAAUUUCUUGGCUUAAAAUAUAAAGCAGAUUUCAUAGAGCCACGGCCUUAAAUCCCAUACGCUGGAAAAGUACUUGCAAUUUCAAACAGCACCAAUGACACAAAGUAAUAAAUUGCAGUCAGACUCAAAAGGGCAGAUAUAAAAGUCUGUUUAGAAUAUGAGUGCAACUAUGAUUUGUUAAAUAAGAGUAACAAUUUAUAUUGACUGAGACACAGCAAGUUAAACUUUUGCUAAAGUAAGCAAAAAGCCAAUAUUACUGUGUGUACUUUCACAUUAAAUUUGGGCUUGGAAGUUUCUUUAGUAUCAAGAUAUAACAAAAUACUAAUCAGGUAAAAUUCUAAUGGGCAAAGCAUAGUUUUGAGCACUGCAAUUAAAUUAUUUCUGGAAGCGCAAUCAAAUAUUUGAUUGAGCUAAUAUCACUGCUGCUCCUCACAUUUGUUCUGUUCCUAAAUUAGCUUGGCUAAUCAGUAUCCCACCUCACAGCCUGUGUUGUAAACAUGUAAUAUUAGCUGAUGGGUUUAAUUUCAAGACCACAGUCAAUUUUUGGACAGCAAACUUCUCAAAAACUUAGUCAAAGCCUACAAACGUAUGAAGCAACAUGUUUGGAGAUGUCACAGUUUCUAGGCCAUCAGAACUCUGAUAAAAGUUCUGAGUGAACUUCAGAUCACUCUGUGAUGGCUAUGCAUGUCAAACAAGUUUUGAUUUAGUUUUAUAAUCAGUUUUGUGUACAGUAUUUCACUUCAAAGUGUUUUCUGGUUUUCUGCCCUCCUAAUCCAUGAGCAAGAACCAGGAUUGUACAAAAAAGCAACUUUGUAGAAUGCAGAAUUUAAACAAGGCAAUCACAGUUUUUUGCUCCUGUCUCAGGCUGGCAUACACUAGUGCUUCAAGAUGUUAUUCAGCUGCUACUUUUCCCCAGAGAUGGCUGUACUCCAGUAAAUAGUGAAAUACUCCAUCAAACUUUUUUUUUUUUUUUUUUCCCAGCAGAGGUUAACAGAGAUGUUUCCAUAGGUCUAAGGGAAUAUGAAAACAUGGUGAUUGUGUAGUUGGAUUUCUUGAAAAACAUUAGCCUUAGAUUUACUGCAUCAGUAAUUAGGAGCUGCUGCUACAUUCCAACACGCUGCAGAAACAACUGCAGUUAGUAUCUGUAGAGUACACGGAGAGUCUUAGAUUACAGUGAUUGUUAUUCGAUUCUGUUCUUGCAGCUUUUAAGAUCAUAGAAGAAACAAAUACUUUUCAUUUUGUCCUUCUGAUAGGUGCACAGAUUUUUUCCUUUCAGCAUAUAACUCAAAGUCAUCUAAGUACAAAUUGAAUUUCUAAUAACUACAGUCAACUGGAUUUAAUUCCUUUUGAUGGAAGCAUAGCAGUGUCAAUACUUACAGAGAUUUAGUAUUACUGCUGAUUUAUUGAAAGUAAAAUGUCAGUACAACAUGAAAAUUUGUCAUUUUAGAAAGGUUUAAUAAAAAAGAUGAACACAACACAAAAAAUUGAAAAUAUAAGAACCAAUAACUGGUCAUUCUAAUUCACGUUUUUCCAGAUGAGCAUCCAGGUAUCAGUUGGUUAAACGCAAAUGCCACUGACGUCAAUGGAGCUGUGUCAGUUUACUCUCGCUGUGAAUCUGAUCCCAAGUGUGCUACUGCCAUUUUUAGACUCUGCCACUGGAAUUCACUUUUGCAAGACAAUUAAAAAAACACAUCCACACAUUGCAUUUCUUCCUGUCCCCAAGUGUAUAACUGGAAGUCUGUUGACAGACUGUGGGAGAGGGCAUGUGGGAGGUGGAAGUAGCCAACAACUGCAUCCAUGAGAUAACUUUGCAGUAUCAGUAUGAAUACUGCUCUGUUGUCUUCCUUUUAUACAAAUGAAUAUUUGGCUUCAGAAAGUUUUGACUCCGCCUUCCACUAACAGACAAUUCCAUGUCAGCAGAAGAGAAAUGAUGAUGUAAACUACAUGGAGUAUCUACCUUAUAAAUUUGUUAACAUGGUAUUUUAACCAGUAUGCAAACUCAACAGACUAUUUUAAUGCACCAUUAGAAAAAGUACCUAAAGCUACAAGAGCCCCAUGGCUGAGUUCUGUGUGUUCACCUAAGCAAUCUCCCUGAUGUACCAGCAGUAAGACUGGGAACAGUUCUAAGGCAGCUGUUUGAAGUGGCCUGCAAGCCAGAUUUCUAUCUGGCUAACAUCUUUCAUAUCUCAUCUAGCAUUUGUGUGAGCAAGAGAAAAGAAAGGAAAAGGUGGGGCAAUAAGCAGGGCGGAGUAGUACUUGACAGCGCCACCACUUCUAAGCAGAGAGAGGGAGCUUUUGUCUGUUUUACAUAAGGCAGUUGUUAACAUGAGUGCACUGUAUAACAGCUCCCCGGUAUUAACAUACAAUGAAGUUGGAAUGUUGGUAUUUGACUCAACAUAGCAAGGUCAAAAUGGAAAAGGUAAUUAAUUAGAACUGAAGGUGCAGUCCACAUGGUAUUGAACUAAUUUUCUAUUUGUGCAACACAACAACCAUAUCUUCAAUUUAGGUCAGGCCAUCAAGAGGAGGAAAAGGACUGAAGAUGAGAUGCUCUACUUCACACAGUUGCCCUCUGGAAGGACUUGCAAAGGCAGUCACUUAAAUUAAGUACAGGUCAUCAGACAAGAUAUCUAAUCUAUUCCUAAGACAGGCAGCUCUAGCAGUCCAAAUCCCUAUGGCCUUUGUAGCGACACAAUGAACUACUUCCUCAUGUACCUCUGUCAAUUCACAUUAGGUUCCAGUUUUCUUAAAGCGAUAUUUCAUGUACAUCAUGACCCUAUUGCUCAAAGCAAGGAAAGUGCUUUGGUUUAUUUAUGACCUACUAACCUUAAAUAAAAUUAAAAAAUAUAUCCAAUCUGAAUGUUCACAUAAGCAUGCAGAUCUGAAAUAAAAUUUAAAAUAAACCUGGCAUUUGUAAUAGCUAGCUAAGCCUGGUAAGUGAUUUUUAAAAAAAUAAAACCAGAUGAAAGAAGAUGAAAGCAUAUUUACCCUGCAUAACCUGCACACAUCAUGAAUCAGGGCUAGAACCCAGAAAUACCUUUUGUACUUAGAAGUUUCAGCCCAUUUCAGAGGCUAGGUGACCAAGAAAAUACUGAGGUUUUCUAUUUUAGGGGGUGGGGAAGCAUUAAUAACAACCUGUGAAAGUAAUUCCUUCUAAAAUGUAAUCUACCUGGCCACAAACUCUACACAGCUCCUCUCCUUCCCCUGCACCCCACCCCAUCCCAAUUGCCAGAUAUCAACCAGGCAAGCCCCCAUAUGGAAAUAUGAAGUGACAGAUGGAAGCAGGCAAUAAGGGCAUAGGAAUGAGUACUGAAAGAAACGACAUACAGAGAACAAGCUUAUAACAGGUCAGACCUUAAACAAAUGAAAAUACACAUAAAACUGAGCUGGAGAGCCUUAUUCUUUCAUCCCUCAUGCUAGUGUGCAGAGGUAUUCUCCCAACAUCCAUGGAAUCAAACCUUUGAAAUUUCAGUACAAAUAGAUGGAGAAAUAAAAAUAAUCAAAGCUAAAGUAUUGGCAGCAAAUAUACUGUGCUGCUGUAUUGGGAAAGAAAGUUGGGCUGCCACAUUUAAUUAAAAUAUAUUUGAUUUAUCUAUAUUCAUAAUCACAGUGGCCUUCAUAACACAUCUAAUCUACCAUAAAGAAGAAAAUGAGUUGAUUCUAUUCUUGUCUGGUUUUCCAGUAGGCUAUAUUAAUGACUUUUUCUUUUAGUUCUAAUAGAUGGAAAAUACAGUUGAGUUAAAUGAUGUAAUAAAUACCUCUACAUGCAGAGCAACUACUUGAAAAAAACAGUUAGGACCAAGUCCUUGUCAUAGCGUUUGUUUACAAAAUGGGCACGGGCAGCACACUGAUGAACUCCAGUCCUUUAGUGUGGGCUCCCUUAACAUAAGUACAGACAAAACUCCAAACAUUUAUAAAGUCUUAUAAAUAACGAUGGAAGCAUGAGAGAGAGAAAGUACCGAGCAUCUUUAACCAAAGGAUAAAGUAAACAAACAAACAGCAAUUCAUCUAAAUCAAUGAACCAGUCACUUAAUUUCAGCACAGUCAAGAGCGGACCUAGCAGAAAUGUGACAAGCUGAGCUUCAAGAACACCUUCUGCAUAAGAAUUCUGCUCACAAAUGAAAAUAAGAAAGAAGUCUGGGAAACUACCAGCUCCUUGCAGAAAGACUGAAACAUGAUGGGCAGAGAAGGGUGUUGGUGUCGAAAUUUGAGGAUGCAGUCAAGUCAAUGGAGUUCUGUUGUAGUGGUUGCUUCAGUGAACAUUCAACGCUGUCGGCCUUAACACCGAAGAUAGCAACCUAACCAUCAUAUGAUGUUUCUCCCUCACCCUGCCAAGCUUUACAAAAAGGUCACAAUCAACAUUCAUUGCUGUCGGUGGGUUUAACUAUGUGGACAAGCUCACUGAACAAUGAAUGCAACUGUGGCCUCACAUUGUACAGUUGCCGUUGAGAGGAGUAGCAGCUCUGAAGGCAAUAGUGAGAAGCAAACACUUCUUUUAAACUACAGUUUUCUGGUCAGAAAAAUAGUUGGGGGUAUCCAGUUUUUGCUUGUUUGGUUUUGAGUGUGUUUAACUCAGAUGACUGGAAAAGAAAACCCACUGCGUUUUUCUUGGGUAUUGUCCUCACAGGGUUCAGUGCCACUGAAAAUGUGAAAGUCCUUAUUUAGUAUGUGUGCAGAAAAAAUAACAGGAUAGGACACUAAGUAUAUCCACUCCUAAGGCCUCUAACAUAAGAGGAAAGAAUAUUUAGUUGUCAUUUAACUAGGCAUUGUUGAAGAGUUCAAAAGUUUAUUCUAUACUUGUCACGACAUAUACAGCUGGGAACAAAUGGGAUUUAAGAGUUAUGGAUAAAAAUGUUAUGUCAAAAAAUAUUAAUUAAUUUUACAUGAAACUGAUUUUAAGAACACAAAUACUAUUGCAUUUGCUAUUUUUAGGGAUCUGAAAGAUGACAGAGAAAUGUAUAUCCAGAAAUAAUAAUGGAAAAGCAGUUAUAUUGUAAAGUUGUUGAAUUGUAAACCGAGUACCUAUGUCACGCUCUGAGUUUUGCAAUAAGAAAAUAAAAUGUAAAUAAGCUCAC